AAAGACAGCACUGUGGUGUGCCAGAGGCAGAGAACAGGAGGGACUGAGGUACCACCAACGCCCGAGGCCCCUGCACUGGCAGGGAAUUCAUUAGCUGGAAAGGAAAUUCUGGAACCAUCUGGGUUUGACAAUGAACGUCAGCUUUAUCUGCAGGAGGGAGGCUGGUCUUGCGGUCAAUGCGCUAGAAUUCCGGGAGUUUGAGCUCAACUGGCUCUGCACGAAGUCACAGUGUGAUUUUGGGGACACCUGGCUUCUACAUGUUAGUGGCUGUCACUUCUGAAGCAAUUGCCCCGUCGUGCGAUGAGAAGAGGGAUUCCAAACUCCAGAGGUUAGAUAUGAUGGGCAAGAGCCUCAGCUGGUAUAAAUGAGCCUAACUCCCUUGACUUCAGUGGCCCUCCAUUCAUACUCACUAGCCCUACAUCUAGCCUGCUGCAGUGGGAGUCCCAGGGCCAGGCCAAGGAGU